rnacentral:rRNA from 1 species
AAUGAACGCUGGCGGCAGGCCUAACACAUGCAAGUCGAACGGGUCCUUCGGGACUAGGGGCGGACGGGUGAGUAACGCGUGGGAACGUGCCCUUUGCUUCGGAAUAGCCCCGGGACACUGGGAGUAAUACCGGAUGUGCCCUUUGGGGGACAGAUUUACCGGCAAAGGAUCGGCCCGCGUUGGAUUAGGUAUGUGGUGGGGUAAUGGCCUACCAAGCCGACGUUCCAUAGCUCGUUUGAAAGGAUGAUCAGCCACACUGGGCCUGACACACGGCCCUGCUUCCUACGCGAGGGAGCCGUGUGGAACCUUAGAUACUGGGGGAAACCCUGAUCUAGCCAUGCAGCGUGAUCGAUGAAGGCCUUAGGGUUGUAAAGAUCUUUCCGCUGGGCAGAUAAUGACUGUACCAGCAGAAGAAGCCCCGGCUAACUCCGUGCCAGCAGCCGCAGUAAAAC